GAUGAACGCUGGCGGCGUGCCUAAUACAUGCAAGUAGAACGCUGCAGUCGGAUCUUGCUCUUCAGGAUGAGUUGCGAACGGGUGAGUAACGCGUAGGUACCCUGCCUGUUAGCGGGGGAUAACUAUUUGAAACGAUAUCUAAUACCGCAUGACAACAGUCAUUUCAUGAUAACUGUUUAAAAGGUGCAACUGCUCCUCUACCAGAUGGACCUGCGUUGUAUUAGCUAUUUGGUGAGGUAACGGCUCACCAAGGCGACGAUACAUAGACGACCUGAGAGGGUGAGCGGCCACACUGGGACUGAGACACGGCCCAGACUCCUACGGGAGGCAGCAGUAGGGAAUCCUCGGCAAUGGACGGAAGUGUGAACGAGCAACGACGCGUGAGUGAAGAAGGUUUUCGGAUCGUGAAGGUCAGUUGUGAGAGAAGAACGAAAGGGAGAGUGAAAAGUUCACACUGUGACGGUAUCUGAACAGAAAGGGACGGCUAACUACGUG
rnacentral:rRNA from 1 species